GAUUCUGUAAUUCACAAUUUCACCAACACAGACUUGUUAUUUAGUUUCAAAGAAAAAUAAUAAACUUUCUUUUUUCGUCUUUUUAAUAUUUUUAACAACAAACUUCGCUGUUUCAUUAUUUUCUACUAAUAAAUAUUUAUUUAGAAGUACAUCGAUUUAUAAAAAAUGGCGUAAUAUCCUUUUUUAAUGUUUUCUUUUACAUUGUAUAUCACGUGAUAUUAUAUGUGAAAAUAUAUAAAAAGAAUAUUUUACAGAUUUGUAUAAUUGUUACAUUAAGAGAUUGAUGAAGAAUAUGAUUGAUGCUUUAUAUUUUCUCUCAUGCAUAUCCAUAUAUGUAUCGUAUACAAUACAAUAGAGUAAUGUGUGCGAUAAACAACAGUAUCAAUGAACAGACAACAUUUUUUAAUAACAUCAGAAUGUUUGUAUUUAGAUAUGUAUGUAUACUUUUCUUCUUCAAAACCAAAUAUUGUUUUUUACAUAAAGUAUUGGAAUAAUAUAAAUAUUAUAUAGAAAAGGUGCGAUGUUAUAUUGGAAUAAGUAUCAUUUGCAUACAAUCAAAUUCUUUCCAAUAUAUCACAAUUUCUAUACAUUGCUAGUGUAAACAUUAAUAGCAAAUUAAAUAUAAACGGAUAAUAUUAUACAAAUGUAAACGAUUGUAUUUAAUACAAAGUUGAUUAGAUAUCUGACCAUUGUUAAGAAAGAAAUUCUGACAAACUUUCACCUGAUUAAAAUGUUUUUCCUCCAAAUUCUCCUGAAAGAAGAAACCGUUGAUCGGUCAUUGUUUGAACAUCAAGGAUGCCGAUACAGCCUGUGUUGGGGGUAUGUAUAAUGCAUUUGAAAUCAUUCUUAUUUUCACACUCUUAUUUUUGGAUCAACGGCAACUUCUCUCACCGUAGCCUCUAGCAAGAGGACCACCCUGUAUCAUAUUGCAUUAAAAUCUUAAUUUAACACUCAAAAAUUUAUUGUUACGAAAAAAAAAACUGUAUGCUAAAAUAUCAAGACGAAAUAUGAGUAUAUAAUGAAGUGAGGAAAUAAUAUUAAAUCAUCCAAUUAUUUUCCAAUAGAAUAUGACAAAGUGGAGAUACUUUCAUAGAAUCAAAUAUCAUACAAUGAAUUACAAAAAUAUUAUACCUAAACAAUAUAAAUACAAAUACAAGAUACUGCUGAAGCCUAAUCGUCUGUUUUCUAAUCAGUUAUUCUUAGCUAAUCGAUUAGAAGCUCCGUUUAGUUGAUGAUCAAUGACAUAUCAACAGAUAUCUUAAACAGAUAAUAACUAAAAGAUAUAUAACGAUAUUAAUUCGAUACUAAAUUUUUAAUUAUCUAGCUAUGAAGCUGGAAAAAUAUUAAUUUAGCUGCAUGACAACCCAAGGAAAGUCGAAAGUAUUUUACGGUAUUAAAUAUUAUAAUAUUCAUAUGUUAAACUGUAAAGAAGAAUAAAUAUUUUAUCAUAAUCAAAUUUCAUUUUUCUUCAAUCAUAGUUUACAAUGUAAUAU
rnacentral:misc_RNA from 1 species